UGUAGGAGCGAGCUUGCUCGCGAUGGCGUCAAGUCAGCCGCCUUGAUCUUGGCUGAUACACCGCUAUCGCGAGCAAGCUCGCUCCCACA
rnacentral:misc_RNA from 1 species